CCUACGGGUGGCAGCAGUGAGGAAUAUUGGUCAAUGGACGAGAGUCUGAACCAGCCAAGUAGCGUGAAGGAUGACUGCCCUAUGGGUUGUAAACUUCUUUUAUAAAGGAAUAAAACGAGGCACGUGGGCCGUUUUGCAUGUACGUUAUGAAUAAGGAUCGGCUAACUCCGUGCCAGCAGCCGCGGUAAUACGGAGGAUCCGAGCGUUAGCCGGAGUUAUUGGGGUUAAAGGGAGCGUAGAUGGGUUGUUAAGUCAGUGGUGAAAGUUUGCGGCUCAACCGUAAAAUUGCCCUUGAUACUGGCAGUCUUGAGUACAGUUGCGGUAAGCGGAAUUCGUUGUGUAGC
rnacentral:rRNA from 1 species